GACGAACGCUGGCGGCGUGCCUAAUACAUGCAAGUCGAACGCAGUGGGGACGUGUGCGUAACACGUGGGUAACCUCCCAUCAGAGGGGAUAACACUUGGAAACAGGUGCUAAACCGAUACUGAUGGAUGGACCCGCGGUGCAUUAGCUCGUUGGUGAGGUAACGUCUCACCAAGGCCACGAUGCAUAGGCGACCUGAUGGGGGGAUCGGCAAAAUGGGGACUGAGAACAGGCCCAGACUCCUACGUGAGGCAGCAGUAGGGAAUCUUCGGGAACGGACGAAAGUCUGACCGAGCACCGCCGAGGGAGUGAAGAAGGUUUUCGGAUCGUAAAACUCUGUUGUGAGAGAAGCGGUAUCUAACCAGAAAGGCACGGCUAACUACGGGCCAGCAGGCGCGGUAAUAC
rnacentral:rRNA from 1 species